AUGUCGUCGUCAGCGGACCUCCCGUGGCCUGCGCGCGGCGGCGGUGUCUUUGACUUCGGGCAGGGCAGCGCGCUGGUGCUCGCGUCGUACCCGGUGCUCCUGCUCCUCGUCCUCCUCUCCGCGUUCGUCAGGUACGUGUGGAUCGCGCUCGCGCUCUACUGCGCGAUCCUGUUCCUGCUCUCCUGCACCGGCCGCUUGCUCGCUGGGCCGCUGGUGGUCGUGCACGACGAGGCCAGGGCGGCCGUCGAGCGGGGCGGCCUAUCGCAGGCGUCCAUUGCGGCUAUCCCGGCGUUCGUGUACGGUGCCGCUGCCGGCGAUGGAGAGGCCCAGUGCGCGGUGUGCCUGGAGGCUCUAUCCGGCGGGGAGAAGGCCCGGCGGCUGCCGGUGUGCGCGCACACGUUCCACGUCGGGUGCAUCGACAUGUGGUUCCACUCGCAUGCGACGUGCCCGGUCUGCCGCUGCCAUGUCGAGCCGCCCAAGGCCGGCAAGAUGACGCCGUUGCCGCCAGAGCCGCCUCUGCCGCCGGUGUAG
rnacentral:rRNA from 1 species